GGGGAUGUAGCUCAGUUGGCAGAGUGGUAGCCUAGCAUGCACAAAGCCUGGGUUUAAUUCCCAGCACUCA
rnacentral:tRNA from 1 species